rnacentral:rRNA from 1 species
CGACGAUGAUCGGGAGCUUGCUCCUGUGAUUAGUGGCGAACGGGUGAGUAGCACGUGAGUAACCUGCCCCUGACUCUGGGAUAUGCGUUGGAAACGACGUCUAAUACUGGAUAUGAUCACUGGCCGCAUGGUCUGGUGGUGGAAAGAUUUUUUAGUUGGGGAUGGACUCGCGGCCUAUCAGCUUGUUGGUGAGGUAAUGGCUCACCAAGGCGACGACGGGUAGCCGGCCUGAGAGGGUGACCGGCCACACUGGGACUGAGACACGGCCCAGACUCCUACGGGAGGCAGCAGUGGGGAAUAUUGCACAAUGGGCGAAAGCCUGAUGCAGCAACGCCGCGUGAGGGAUGACGGCCUUCGGGUUGUAAACCUCUUUUAGUAGGGAAGAAGCGAAAGUGACGGUACCUGCAGAAAAAGCACCGGCUAACUACGUGCCAGCAGCCGCGGUAAUACGUAGGGUGCAAGCGUUGUCCGGAAUUAUUGGGCGUAAAGAGCUCGUAGGCGGUUUGUCGCGUCUGCUGUGAAAUCCCGAGGCUCAACCUCGGGCUUGCAGUGGGUACGGGCAGACUAGAGUGCGGUAGGGGAGAUUGGAAUUCCUGGUGUAGCGGUGGAAUGCGCAGAUAUCAGGAGGAACACCGAUGGCGAAGGCAGAUCUCUGGGCCGUAACUGACGCUGAGGAGCGAAAGCGUGGGGAGCGAACAGGAUUAGAUACCCUGGUAGUCCACGCCGUAAACGUUGGGCGCUAGAUGUAGGGACCUUUCCACGGUUUCUGUGUCGUAGCUAACGCAUUAAGCGCCCCGCCUGGGGAGUACGGCCGCAAGGCUAAAACUCAAAGGAAUUGACGGGGGCCCGCACAAGCGGCGGAGCAUGCGGAUUAAUUCGAUGCAACGCGAAGAACCUUACCAAGGCUUGACAUACACCGGAAACGGCCAGAGAUGGUCGCCCCCUUGUGGUCGGUGUACAGGUGGUGCAUGGUUGUCGUCAGCUCGUGUCGUGAGAUGUUGGGUUAAGUCCCGCAACGAGCGCAACCCUCGUUCUAUGUUGCCAGCGCGUUAUGGCGGGGACUCAUAGGAGACUGCCGGGGUCAACUCGGAGGAAGGUGGGGAUGACGUCAAUUCAUCAUGCCCCUUAUGUCCUGGGCUUCACGCAUCUACAAUGGCCGGUACAAAGGGCUGCGAUACCCUAAGGUGGAAAGAAUCCCACAAAGCUGGUCUCCGUUCGGAGCGAGCU